UGGGGAAUUUUGGACAAUGGGCGAAGCCUGAUCCAGCAAUGCCGCGUGUGUGAAGAAGGCCUUCGGGUUGUAAAGCACUUUUGUCCGGAAAGAAAUCCUUGGCUCUAAUACAGUCGGGGGAUGACGGUACCGGAAGAAUAAGCACCGGCUAACUACGUGCCAGCAGCCGCGGUAAUACGUAGGGUGCAAGCGUUAAUCGGAAUUACUGGGCGUAAAGCGUGCGCAGGCGGUUUGCUAAGACCGAUGUGAAAUCCCCGGGCUCAACCUGGGAACUGCAUUGGUGACUGGCAGGCUAGAGUAUGGCAGAGGGGGGUUAGAAUUCCACGUGUAGCAGUGAAAUGCGUAGAGAUGUGGAGGAAUACCGAUGGCGAAGGCAGCCCCCUGGGCAAUACUGACGCUCAUGCACG
rnacentral:rRNA from 1 species